rnacentral:rRNA from 1 species
CGCGGGAAAGAAGAAGGCCUUCUCCCGUAAAGCUCUGUUGUUAGGGAAGAACAAGUGCCAUAGUAACUGCUCGGACCUUGACGGUACCUAAACAAAAAGCCCCGGCUAACUACGUGCCCGCAGCCGCGGUAAUACGUAAGUGGCAAGCGUUGUCCGGAAUUAUUGGGCGUAAAGGCCUCGCAAGCGGUUUUUUAAGUCUGAAGUGAAAGCCCCCGGCUCAACCGGGGAAGGGCAUUGGAAACUGGGAAACUUUAGUGCCGAACAGGAAAGUGGAAUUCCACCUUUUUCGGUGAAAUGCCUAAAGAUGUGGAGGAACACCAGUGGCGAAGGCCAGUCCCUGGUCUGUAACUGACGCUGAAGAGCGAAAGCGUGGGGAGCGAACAGGAUUAAAUACCCUGGUAGUCCACGCCGUAAACCAUGA